CCUUUCAAUUCCAAAUUUUAAAAAACUAUAUGUAUUAUCUUAACCAUCCACGGAUCAAACAUUGGUUUCCAUGAAAAUGAAAUUCUUUUAACAUUAAUGCCACUGCAGUUAUUUUUUUCCAUAAAUUAGCACCAGAAAUAAAAAUGAUAAUGAAAUGUAAAAGUCAUGGUUUUGGAAAUGGUGUAUUAAGUUACAAAUAGCGAGCCUUAGUUCUCUGGAUAGAGAUGGGGCUAAAUGACCUUACAAUCAACCAGAGAUGGCAAUCAUAGAUUCCAGGGAUCGAACUCAGGACUUUGCACUUUCGAGGCAGGCGCCAGGACCACUGAGCUAAAUCCCCAGUUGACAUAUCUUGAUUGAGAAUGCUACCAGGCUAAAAGUGACUGGGGCCUCUGAAUGUUAAACAUGAUGGAAAUCUCAAAGAUCAUCUGCGAACUCUGUUCUCCGGAGUAAUCUGGGCAAAGUAAUAGACUCAGAAAAGGUAACUAACUAAUUUGGGGCAAAAACAAAACCUGGAAGCUUACUUUAAGCUUUUACUUCUACAGAUACCUUGUUGUGUGCUGUUUGCCCAAGCCUGUGUGUCCUUGGG
rnacentral:lncRNA from 1 species